GAAACUUUUAAACAUUCUUCACAAAAACUGCGAUUAUAUCACCAGUAUAUAGAGUCAUAGACCCUAAUUUAUGUAACUUGUAGAAUCCGCAAGUCGGGGGGUUCAGAAAUCGCCGAUUCUCUUCAAUGACUAAUGAAGAACACAAAUUACUUGGAAUUGGAUAAUCUCAAAAAUUACGAGAAACCAGGUGUUUUCGAUGGAGUAGCAACUGAUUCUAAUGAUGGAUUUGAUUUGGGAUGAAUGAAUCCCUUGAUACGGAUUGGAAAUCCAAGAGUCUGUGCACAUUGCUGGUACUAAGGGAAAAGGAUCAACUGCGAAUUUUCUCUCCGAUAUUUUACGGCAAGAAGGGUAAUCGGUUGGAUGUUAUACUAGGUUCUCACUGCUGUAGCAUUUACCCUGUUUUCUCAAGAGAAUGUUGAUAAAGCAGAAAAUCAAGACCACCAUGAUGAAUUCUAAAGCUUCUACAAUAGUCAAGAUUAGUACUACUAAACCAACUUACUAUUAGUUAUUUGAUUAUUGUUUUCCUUCAAAUAAGAAAUCACCAACUUAGCAUCACUGAUUUUAGCAGAUUUUAUCUUUGUUCAUACUCUUUUCCCAUGUAACGGCUUCUAUCAUGCCCAAGCUUUCCACCUCUUCUGGAGUUCUUGCUAUGCCUGGAAUGGUUUUGCAGGCUCUGUAUUUCCCUGCAGAAUUAGUCAUGACAAGUCCAAUACCUGACGAGUUAGUGUUCUUGUCGAAAGAAGAAGCUGAUUCAGAUAAUUUAGAUGUGGAGCUAUCCCUGAUGGUCUGUGUACGUUCAGCAUUCAGAUACAACUCAGUGUCAAAAACUAAUUUCAGUGCCAGUCUAACAGUGGUAUGGUGAUUAAUAGCUUUUCCUUGGAAUAUUUGGAAACAUCUGUCUCUCCAUGCACUCCAGGCAAUAGUGCAAACAGCACAAACCUUAUAUUUGUACAGUCUAUUACAUAACCACUUGUUGAUCCAACAUCUUGCAUGAUAAGAGGUCCAUAAGGAGUAAGUAAGGGACUAUACAUCUUUAGAGAAUUGACAAUGUGUUCAGUAGUCUUAGUGAUAUUCCCAUUACACAUAGUACAAGCAGAAUCCUGAUUAGCUAUGUAGUUGGAGAGUUUGGAUUUGGUUGGCAAGAUGUUUUCUUGGCAUUUCCAGAUGAAGAGUUGUACUUUUGGAAGUAUUGGAAGCUUCCACAAAGCCUUACAGACAAGAGUGGUAGCCUGAUGUGACAAUGCCUAUGGUUGGAAGUCACCAACUUCAAAAUGCUGUAACCGCUGCUUGUGCAGCUUUAUCCCUUCGUGAUCAAGGUUGAAGAAUAUCCAAUGUAGAACGUGUUCUGUUAGGAAGGAACGGCGAACCAGUAUCUGCAGAGGCAUUGAAUUCUCUUUCUCAGUUUUUCUCCAGAGUUAAAGAUAUCCUGGACCAGUCAAUUGAAUUGGAAAAUGGAUCUAUCAGCCAUUUUGAGGUAUUAAUUGGUUUCACUGCUGUAGCAUUCACCCUGUUUGCUCAAGAAAAUAUGGACAUUGCAGUAAUUGGGGCUGGCUUUGGUGGAGCACAUGAUGCCACUAACGUCUUCUCUAGUUUGGAACUCUUAGCAUCAUUUAUAACAACGAUAGGGGAAGAACAUUUGGUUGCGCUUGGGGGUUCCUUAGAGAGAUUGCAAAGGCCAAGUCAGGAAUCAUUAAACAAGCCUUCCCAGUUAUGCACUUUCUCACACUAUAUUCCCUCUGCACAUUAAAUUUGAACUUUAUAUCAAUCCCGCUGGCAACCUAUUAACCAAUUCACCGCUAUUAGUUAGUUUGCGUAUUGGAUCUGUUAAUUUACUGUGUUUAGAUAAAUUUUCCAGGUGGUUCUUGGUGGCCAUUCGAACCAUAUACAUCGAUUUUUAUUUACAUUAGAUCUGUUAAUUUAUGUAUUUUCUUCAGCUUCGUCAUCCCUUUUAGCACCUCUCCAGAGGUAGAAUAGAAACGAGGUAGUUUUUAUUUUACCUUUAUAAUCAUGACAUGUGAUUUUUUCACCAUGAGUGUAGUAAGUUUGUAAAAUGUGGCUGCAAUCAUUCGUGCUUCAAGCAUGAGUUCAACA